GGGGUAAUGGUUCAGCGGUAAAGUGUAUGCUUACUUAGCAUGCAUGAGGUUCUGGGUUCCAUCCCCAGUACCUCCA
rnacentral:tRNA from 1 species